rnacentral:misc_RNA from 1 species
GCAGGGGCAGUUUUCAGCUCAAUUAUCUUUUGAUUAUCAGACUCCAUCAGUUUGGUUGCCGAGAAACCACUAGAAAAUGAACAAGAAAAUUGGGAAUCUCAUGAAAUAAUUGAUCUUUUCUGUAAAUCUAUGGGGUGAGGAUUCCCAAAACUCUUUCUUUCACUUUCUUUACGAUUUGCGAUUCUUUCUCUGCGGUUACUCGGCAACCAAACGAAGCGCUUAGAGACAGCAUCAAAAAGUUACCUCGUCUGCCAUAGCUUGUCGCGA